UACAGAGGGUGCGAGCGUUGUCCGGAAUCACUGGGCGUAAAGGGCGCGUAGGUGGUUGGGGAAGCGUGUGGUGAAAGCCCGGGGCUCAACCCCGGGUCGGCCAUGCGAACUGCCCGACUGGAGCAUGGUAGAGGCCAAUGGAAUUCCGGGUGUAGCGGUGGAAUGCGUAGAGAUCCGGAAGAACACCGGUGGCGAAGGCGGUUGGCUGGGCCAUAGCUGACACUGAGGCGCGACAGCGUGGGGAGCAAACAGG
rnacentral:rRNA from 1 species